CCGACCUUAGCUCAGUUGGUAGUGCAGAGGACUGUAGUUUGAUUAAUCUAAAUUGGAAAUCCUUAGGUCGCUGGUACUAAAUCCGGCAGGUCGGA
rnacentral:tRNA from 1 species